rnacentral:rRNA from 1 species
UAGGGAAUAUUGCACAAUGGGCGAAAGCCUGAUGCAGCAACGCCGCGUGCACGAUGAAGGUCUUCGGAUCGUAAAGUGCUUUUCUGGGAGAUGAGAAAGGACAGUAUCCCAGGAAUAAGUCUCGGCUAACUACGUGCCAGCAGCCGCGGUAAAACGUAGGAGGCAAGCGUUAUCCGGAUUCACUGGGCGUAAAGCGCGUGCAGGCGGCUCGGUAAGUUGGGCGUGAAAUCUCCUGGCUUAACUAGGAGAGGCCGUCCAAUACUACCGGGUUAGAGAGCAGUAGAGGAAGAUGGAAUUCCCGGUGUAGUGGUGAAAUGCGUAGAUAUCGGGAGGAACACCAGUGGCGAAGGCGAUCUUCUGGACUGUUUCUGACGCUCAGACGCGAAAGCUAGGGUAGUAAACGGGAUUAGAGACCCCGGUAAUCCUAGCCGUAAACGAUGUGAACUUGGCGUCGGUAGCUUAAACUCAAUCGGUGCCGUAGCUAACGCGAUAAGUUU